GGUUUUCGUUCUGUGCCAGGAGUCAUACAUCACACUCAACAUCUUCGUCUCCAGAGCCAACCCAGAGAAAGUGCAGAAAAACUACCGUUAACAAGGGAGUAAUUACAUUCAACAUAAAUUAAUUAUUGGUCGCCCUGGACUGGUAGAAAAGGGCCACACAGGCUCUAUCUGACUCAAUUUCCACCUUUGAGGAAAGAAAUAUUCAAAUAUGAAUCAUAAGAUAAUCUGAGUUUCCAAAAUGGACUCACGAUCAUCUUGAAGCCUUCUGCCAUGAAGAUAUUCAAGGAAGGCUUCAUUCCAAAUAAGCAUAUUUCAGACGAGGAUUCGUUUUAGGAACAAAUGAAGUGAAGUCAGGUGGCUUGGCCCCAAAUAGAGCAGUUAUUCAGGAUUUCUGAAAGGCAAUCUGGAGCAAGCAUUACAGUCAUUUAUUUAUGAAGGUCCAGCAAUAUGAUUUGUGCCCAUCUUGAUUACACCUUGUAAGAUGCAACAUCGUGCUUUUAUCUCUUUCCCAAGAGUGCGCAUUGGCACCGUAGCAGAGGACAUGGAGGAAACAACUUUCAAAGAAGCAGAUGUAGAACUUAAAGAGCAUCUGCAGUGGUCGUUUGUGUAGAAAGGAUUUCUACUAGCUAUUUUCCAUCAAUCGGAGCUGUGCCUGCACGUUUCUGCCACUUUGAAUCAGAGCGCCAUGGUGACAUGUCAUUUUAAAGGGACACAUAUUAUUUUCAUUAAGAAAUCCAGUUUUUCAUCCUAUAAUCCCACAAAAGAAAUCAAUUUUCCGCAAAGUAGCACAGGGACACUACUCAAAAUGGAUUUUUUUUCCCUAAGGGGAAAGGAAAAAGAAAAAAGCAAGAAAGCAGAAGCAACAAGAUGAAGAGCCAAAAGGAUGCCAUUAAAGAUGUAAGCAAAGCAGUGGCUCAAAGUCACUGUUCUGUCCCCCAAGUAAAACAAUCUAAAGGUGCCCUAUUCUUGGGUGGAACAGAGUGGGAGACACACAAGCAAGG